AAUAAGCUGGUGAGUAAAGUUACCCUUUAAACUUACCCUUUUUUGUAAGUUCCUAAUGUUGUUUUGGGAGACUACUACUAUAGGUUUACAUGCAUGCAAGGUCAAAAAACCCUUUUAGUUUUCUCAAAAGCCAGAGCCAGAGAUUGUUUCUCUAAACCCCGCCUUUCCGUGAGCCUGCUCUGCUCUGAUUGGUCAGAUGGCCCAGUCUUUUGUGAUUGGUCUGCUGUGAUACACCCAUUGCCAGUUCCAUAUAUGGAACGCUGUAUAGAAAUUAUAAACAUCUAUUAUUGAUCAUAAUUACCCGUUGUGAUUCAGUGGAGCCAGCUGGUCCAACUAAAGCGAGGACUGAUUCGUCUUUCAAGAGCAAGUGUUUGUUGAUCUCCCUGAGAUUAGAGAAGCAGUGUUUAAAAAGAUUGGGGUUGUACAGCUGUGGUGCAGUGGAAAAACAUGAUUUCAACCACUGAUUCUGUGUUGCCUCAUCUUUUGGAAGUGAAAAUAAAAGGAAUUUACUCUCACAGCGUAGAGCACGCGUCUUCUAGACGUGAUGAUAACCACACCAACAAGCUGCAGAGUUUGUGGGCGGGGUCAAGCUGUUCGAACAAAGGCGGGAAUUAUGCAAAUGUGUCACUGCUACUAAUGACUCGUUCAGACAGAGUCGACUCUUUACUUUAGGAGACAGUUACUUUAUUUAUCUGCACUAUUGGCUUUAUAUCUCAUCAUUUACCAACACAGUCUCACUCUCUACUCGUCAAAUGUCUGACGCAUGGUCAAGUGAUCUGGCGUCACUUUUUUGACGCACUGGGUAUACCUUUGGCGUUAUUUUUCAACGUGCAGGUUAGUCCAAUAGACUUCUAUAGAACUCAGCAGCGUUUAAAUUUGACGUCUUGGUUCAGCACACCGCAACUACACUGAAUAAAUAAAAAUAAAUAAUAGGCUACAAAAAAAAUUAUAUAUGACAGAGAUCGUUUUUAUCUGGCCCUCCAACUUGUUUUUAAGGGUUUAAAUAUUCUCGCAAUCUGAUAUCAAAGUGAUCUCUGUGCCAAAGCUUAGCGCGUUCAUCAGUGGUGAGUUUAACAACACUCAACUGCAGGUAAAACAGCACUCAGCGGUGAGUUUGACCAAAGCAACACUCAACUGCAGGGAAAACGGCAUAAAAAGGGGAGUUUAACAACGCUCCAAGGCGCGUGCAAGUAAGCAGUUUAACCGUUUUCUUACACACCAUUCUCGCUUAUCGCUUAUUCAUAGUUCAUCAUCUCUAUGAAAUCACGUUCAAGAAGUCUCAUUCAGCACACAUCGCGAUACUUGCCAUCAGUUUCCAUGUGCCACAGGGUCGAUGUAAAGGAAGCAGUCAUCCCUGUGGUGUUUGUGGAGAGGUUUUCCUUCAGAAAUGGAGAAGACUGAAAGCUGCGGAGGCAGACAUUUGCAGCAGAUUGUUUGCAGAUAAUGCUGUUCAAGCUCAACAGCUCUUUUAAGAGCCAACCCUCACAAACCUUCCUAAAAACUAAAAGAGCUGUUACUGAGUCUCAGCGAAUCUUGCCAUGAUCAGCUCUUCCCAGAAGAGAAGGAAGACCAAGGAAAUGAUUUGCUCAUGAGGAAUGAAGACGGCCAUCUUGAGCCCAAACAAAGACAGAAGUCCUCUGAUGAUCUCAUCAGCCAAAUGGGGGGUUUUGACCAAGUGAUGCUCUUGAAAGGACUGAAAGAAGAGGAUGUGGUAAAUUGUCUUCAGAGAAAAACCUUCUCAAAAGGUCUCAAAACAGCUUGAAGAAUGGUCUGGGAUCUUAGGACUGAGAGAUCCUCUGGCUGAGAGAAGCUACACCACAUCAGUGCUGGAUAUCAACCGCAAACAGUUUCCAGACACGAGAGAAGAAGAUCACGAUGGGGAGAUGAAACCAGUUUAGAUGUGAUGAUGGGAAUCAUUAUUUUCUGGAACAGUAUCACAUGUCUUAUAUGCAUCACAUGAUCUGUAUCACAGUUGACUGGAUGGAUUAUUUUUACUUUUAAGGACAUUUCAUCACUCAUCUGUGUGAACUGAUUAAUUUAUGAUAUUAAUGAAUUUUUGAUCCUUUAUUAUUUUCCUUGAAUUGUGUUUGUCUUGAAGCUACUUUAUCAACUUCAUAGUCUAUGCUUCAAUAAAAUUAAUAUGGUGAA